AGCGAACGCUGGCGGCAGGCCUAACACAUGCAAGUCGAACGGACCCUUCGGGGUUAGUGGCGGACGGGUGAGUAACACGUGGGAACGUGCCUUUAGGUUCGGAAUAGCUCCUGGAAACGGGUGGUAAUGCCGAAUGUGCCCUUCGGGGGAAAGAUUUAUCGCCUUUAGAGCGGCCCGCGUCUGAUUAGCUAGUUGGUGAGGUAAUGGCUCACCAAGGCGACGAUCAGUAGCUGGUCUGAGAGGAUGACCAGCCACAUUGGGACUGAGACACGGCCCAAACUCCUACGGGAGGCAGCAGUGGGGAAUCUUGCGCAAUGGGCGAAAGCCUGACGCAGCCAUGCCGCGUGGAUGAUGAAGGUCUUAGGAUUGUGAAAUCCUUUCACCGGUGAAGAUAAUGACUGUAGCCGGAGAAGAAGCCCCGGCUAACUUCGUGCCAGCAGCCGCUGUAAAAC
rnacentral:rRNA from 1 species